ensembl:processed_transcript BC006965 cDNA sequence BC006965
CCAUCCAGCUGGAUCCGCUGUGAGACCUUUCCUCCUCGCAAUAACUAAAAUUCUUUCCUCUAUUAAAUAAAACCUAUCUAGACCACCUUUGUGGAGGGUGGUCUGCCUGUUUCUGGACGCCUAUGUCUCUCUUGGUUCUAGCAUUUAAAAGCCCAAGAGUGUCAGUUACCCCUGAGUGCUGAACAAGCCGGUAAAGUUUAUGAAGUAGUGACACUUGGAGGAAGACUCCUGAGUUUGAGAAGAUAUGGACCUUCCAGAGCUGACUACUUUCUGUGUUCUUGCUGAAGUACUGAAUAGUGUUUUUCUAAAAUUG